rnacentral:rRNA from 1 species
UACGAAGGGUGCAAGCGUUAAUCGGAAUUACUGGGCGUAAAGCGCGCGUAGGUGGUUCGUUAAGUUGGAUGUGAAAGCCCCGGGCUCAACCUGGGAACUGCAUCCAAAACUGGCGAGCUAGAGUACGGUAGAGGGUAGUGGAAUUUCCUGUGUAGCGGUGAAAUGCGUAGAUAUAGGAAGGAACACCAGUGGCGAAGGCGACUACCUGGACUGAUACUGACACUGAGGUGCGAAAGCGUGGGGAGCAAACAGG